rnacentral:rRNA from 1 species
CCUACGGGCGGCAGCAGUAGGGAAUAUUGCUCAAUGGGGGAAACCCUGAAGCAGCAACGCCGCGUGGAGGAUGAAGGUUUUAGGAUUGUAAACUCCUUUUGUGAGAGAAGAUAAUGACGGUAUCUCACGAAUAAGCACCGGCUAACUCCGUGCCAGCAGCCGCGGGAAUACGGAGGGUGCAAGCGUUACUCGGAAUCAUUGGGCGGAAAGAGUGCGCAGGCGGGGUUGUAAGUCAGAUGUGAAAUCCUGGGGCUUAACUACAGAACUGCAUUUGAAACUAUGAGUCUGGAGUGUGGGAGGGGUAGGUGGAAUUCUUGGUGUAGGGGUAAAAUGCGUAGAUAUCAGGAGGAAUACUCAUUGCGAAGGCGACCUACUGGAACACAACUGACGCUCAUGCACGAAAGCGUGGGGAGCAAACAGGAUUAGAUACCCGGGUAGUC